rnacentral:misc_RNA from 1 species
GAUGAAGAACGCAGCAAAAUGCGAUAAGUAAUGUGAAUUGCAGAAUUCAGUGAAUCAUCGAAUCUUUGAACGCACAUUGCGCCCGCCAGUAUUCUGGCGGGCAUGCCUGUUCGAGCGUCAUUUCAACCCUCAAGCCCUCGGGUUUGGUGUUGGGGAUCGGCGAGCCUUUCUGGCAAGCCGGCCCCGAAAUCUAGUGGCGGUCUCGCUGCAGCCUCCAUUGCGUAGUAGUAAAACCCUCGCAACUGGAACGCGGCGCGGCCAAGCCGUUAAACCCCCAACUUCUGAAUGUUGACCUCGGAUCAGGUAGGAAUACUCGCUGAACUUAAGCAUAUCAAUAAGCGGAGGA